AUUGUACUCCCUCCGUCCCAAAAUUCUUGUCUUAAAUUUGUCUAAAUAUGGAUGUAUCUAGUUACGUUUUAGUAUUAGAUACAUCCGUAUCUAGAUAAAUCUAAGACAAGAAUUUUGGGACGGAGGGAGUAUAAU
rnacentral:pre_miRNA from 1 species